UCCCUUCUUUUUCUUCUAGGUCUAUCAAAUUUGGAAGCAGUGCAUCGACUUGGGUGGUAUAUUUUUCCGGCAAAAUAGCUCUGGCUCUUUUCCUUUCUCUUUCUAGUUCCUCCUCAGAGGGGCUGAUGUUGGCGUUUGGCUUGGUUUUAUCUAUCAUCAGAUGUGAUCCAGUGCUCUUCAUGUUUGUAAGUGGCCAUAAUUCCUCUCUUCUUUCCCACCUAAACCGAAUUUGCCUCCUUUUAAGUUCUUCUGUAAGGAAGAGAUAUUUCUUUUGUUUUUACAUUGUACUGGACAGAUGUUCUUUGAGGAUCGUUACUUUUAGCCCUUUAUACUGGAUAGUAUUUUUUUUGCUUAUUCUCAGGACUUCCUCUCUUAUCUUUCUUCUCUCGAAUUGGACGACCACAUCUCUCGACACUUUUUUUUUAAAAAAAGUUUGUAGUUACUCUGAAAGCUCUCUCUAUAUUUUCUUCCAUCUCUUUGUCUUGUACUUGUAAUAGGUCUGCUAGGAUUUGAGUCACAAUUUGCUUCACAUUUUCUUUUGGUUCCUCUACUAUGUUUCUUAUUCUUACCUGGAAUUCCAAUUCUUUCUUUUCUAAUCUUUCCUGUCUUUCUUCCAGUUUAGCAUUCUUCAGUUCUAGUUUUUCUAAUUUGAUCUUAAAAUUGUCUUGUGUUUUUUCUAAUUUUUUGUCGUCCUCUUUUAUUUCUUUAAUGUCCUCUUGUAGACCUUUCAUUUCUUUUUUCAUUUCUACAAAUUCCUCUGUUAAAUCCUUUUUCAUGGUUGCCAUUUGGUCUUGAUACAUUUUUUGAUUGUCCACAAUCCUCUGAAGUUCUCUCCUAAUGUCCUUUAAGUGAACUUCCUCGGCUAUUGAUCCCUUCCUCGCGGGAAUUUUUUUAUCCUCCAUCUUCGAUUUAGGGGUAGUCAUCUUCAAUUUGUAUUAUAACUGCCCACUCUCUCAGAGUCCAUGAUCAGAAUCGGUGUAUAUCUGUGUAUAUAAGUUGUUAACAGUAUUUAAUAUUAUUACAUCCAAAAUUCGUAUCAAAUUCAACUAUAAAAUAUAUAUCAUCUACAUAUCACAUUCCUCAAAUCUCAAAAAAUUUAUGUUUUAUAACUAGUUGCAGUAGUUUGACUGAUUAGUUGGAGUAAUUAAUAUUUAUCAAUUUGUAUAUCUCUUCUUCCUGCCGUAUAAACAGAUACUACUUAUUUUGUUUGCCUGGUUGGUCAGAAAAUAACUCCUGUAAUAUUUGAUAUUAAUUCAACCCACUAUUUUAUUGAUGUUGUCAAUUUGAUAGGUGAAUUUGAUAUACUGAGAUUUUCUCUUAGUAAAUUAUUUGGGAGGAUAAUUAUCAUUAUUUUUCCUUCCUCUCCUGAUCCCACCACUAUCAUCCACAGUUCCCGAAGGCGCAGUCACAACAAAUGGUAAAGUGAAAAAAACCCUAAAACUCAAAGAUUUAUUUUUCAAAACUUUAUUUAUUAAACCAAUGUAAAGUGAAAAAAACCUCAAAGUCAAAGAUUUAGUUUUGAAAACUUUAUUAAAGCAAUGGUAAAGUAAAAAAAACCCCUCAAAGUCAAAGAUUUAUUUUUCAAAACUUUAUUAAAGCAAUGGUAAAGUGAAAAAACCCAAAGUCAAAGAUUUAUUUUUCAAAACUUUACUAAAGCAAUGGUAAAGUGAAAAAACUCAAAGUCAGAUACUUAUUUUUCAAAACUUUAUUAAAGCAACGGUAAAGUGAAAAAACUCAAAGUCGGAUACUUAUUUUUCAAAACUUUAUUAAAGCAAUGGUAAAGUGAAAAAACUCAAAGUCAAAACUUUAUUUCUUAAAGCAUCAAGUCCUGGGUGUGGGCUUCGUAAUUCAAAGGGCCGGUCAUUGUCAUCGAGGAUCCUCUGCGGGAUAUAACUGUAAUAAAGAAAGAAAGAAAGAAAUCAAUAAAUGGAGGCUCAAAGAUCUCCCCCCACACCCUUUUUCUGCUUUUUAAUUUUACAAAACAAUUUCUUACAUCAUCACGUCCUGGGUGGCGGCUUUGGAAGGAAAAAUGGCCAGUUCGUUUUGUUGAACGUUGCAGAGCUGGUCCCAGGAGCAGCGGCGUUGGCUUCCUCUUUUAUGGGAGGCAGAAAGUAGGGCUGGCGAUGUUGAUCGAUUGGUUGGCGGCUCUCCUUAUUUCCCGUCAGGAAGGGAUCCCCUGGAACGCAGGGGGGCCGGAUCCAGUCCGACCCCGUGUAGAUCAGGCGGAUCUCUUUCCUUCUUCUCCAGGAGAGCCGCCGCUGCCAGCUCCCUUUCUCGGCGUACUUUUUUUUCCUUGCUGCCGCCGCUCCAGGGACUCCUAAUAUAAAAUAAAAAAGAAACAUUAUUAAUAUACCACUCUAUCUCCCAGGGCCCCCCUAUAUACAACAAACAAUAACUUAACAUAGCAAAAUAAACUAAAUAAUAUAAAAAAAAUAAACAAACCUUUUCCUGCCUUUCCUUCUGUUGCCAGUAAUCUAACAAAUGGAGGUCCCGCCAUUGUUUGUAUUCAAGCUUCUUUUGACGAGCCAGAAGAUCUCUUUUGAAUUUUUCUUCAGUUUUGCGGGCUUCGAUACUGGCCUUUUUUUGCUUUGCUUCCUCUUCUUUUUUUCCAGGAAGUUCCCAGAGGGGGCGCCUUUCCCUUGUCGUUAUUGCUGGGAGCUUCUUGACAGAACUUUGUUUGCUUGUAGUCGGAACCGCCUCCUCGGAACUUUUUUUCUCCAUCAAGGAGGGGAUUGACGGAGGCCGUAGAGGAUCCUCGGCCCACACCCAGGUAUUCAGCUUUUUUGUAUUUUUCAUUUUCCUGACUACGCUAGCUCUAGAGCCUAACUAGCUCUAACUAAAAAAAAUAAAAAACACAACACACUACAAACAACACUACAAACUACACACAAUAUAAACUGCACUCUACAAAAUACACUCUACACACUACACUCUACACACUACACAAUAAAUAAAGAUAAAAAUUAAAAAGAAAAGAAAAAAGAGAAAGGUAAAGGUAAAGGUAAAGAUAAAAGGUUAAGAUACAAGGUAAAGAUCAAAGGUAAAGAUCAAAGAUCAAGAGAGAAAAUAAAAUAAGAAUAAGAAAAAUUAAAUCAAGGAAACAAGAGCUGAAAGAUUGAAUAAGACCUCGCUGUCACUUGCUACACCAACCACCUGCACCUGCACCUCCACCCAGUCCAAAGCUAACUGGUAAAGAAGCAGGGGCUGGCCAAAGCUUAUAUGCUUGUAGGAGGCACAGUGAUGCGUAAAGGGUGGGCUGAGUGGGCCAAUCAGAAGGGAGAGGCUUAAAGGUCAGCCUCUCAAUUGAGUCCAACAUGACCAAUUAUGGUCAUGUUGAGAAACAUCAACUAGACUUAAUGUCAAGGGGGAAACUUUACCUUUUAGGGCGAUGGAGAUUAUUUGCCCAUCAGGGAGAGGCUUAAAGGUCAGCCACUCAAUUGAGUCCAUUAUGACCAGUUAUGGCCAUAUUGGGGCACAUCAACUAGACUCAAUGUCACCUUUCAUGGUGAUGGUGAUGAUUUGCUUUGGGAUUUUUUUUUUUAAUUAAGCAAAAUGUUUGACCACCAAGCAUAGAAUUAUAUUUGUUGCUACUUCAUAAAUGGAAUUUUGCUACUGUUAUGAAUUGUAAUAUAAAUAUCUGAUAUGCAGGAUGUAUUUUCAUUGUUACAGAUUGAACAAAAAACAUAGUGAUUAAUCACAAAAACUAUAUGUUUGGGGGAGUGUGAUUUAUUUAUUUAUUUAUUUAUUUAUUUAUGUAUUUAGUUAUUUACAGUACUUUUUCCCCACCUUUCUCAAACCCGGAGGGGACUCAAGGCAGCUUCACAACAUGGCAACAAUUCAAUGCCUUUAAAAACAGAGUACAAAAACAAUCCUUUAAAGCAUUAAAAUACAAUUAAAAACAAUUAACAUUUAACUCCGAACAACAGAGUAAAUCACGUGCUCCAUAGGCACAGUCCUGGCCGUUCCAUUGGUCAGUUCCAUAUCUUUCAUAUCUAUUACUGCACCAGAAUUCUGAAGGCUUGCUCAAAGAGCCACGUCUUCCCUUUUUUGCAGAAGAUCAGGAGGUGAUCUAAUCUCCCUGGGGAGGGAGUUCCAUAGCCGGGAGCCACCACCGAGAAGGCCCUGUCUCUCGUCCCCGCCAAUCGCGCUUGCAAAGAGGGCAGAACCGGGAGCAGGGCCUCCCCAGACAAUCUUAGACUCCGAGAUGGUUCAUAGGGGGAGAUACGUUCGGACAGAUAAACUGGGCCAGAACCGUUCAGAGCUUUAUAGGCUAAAGCCAGCACUGUAUGGACAAGAGAUGAUGGGAUCUGCAGUAUCAUCUAGUCUAACCUCCUACUGUAAGGCAGCUGUACACCACUAAAGCACUCCUUAAAGAUGCCCAUUACACUUGCAUUUGAAGACCUCCAGAGGAGGAAAGUCCACCACCCUCCAAACCGGCGUGUUCCCUGAAAUAUGGAGGGCAUCCAAAAGCAGUAUUUUGCAUUAAACAUGGAGGAUGACCCAAAGGUCAUCUAGCAGGGAUACACAAUGAAAGCCCUCCCAUACGAUUCCCAUCCCACCUCUGCUUGAAGACCACAGAAGUCCACUUCUCUAUGACUCUAUGGAAAGGAACCCCCAAGGGUUAUCUAGUCCAAUCCCAUUUUAUCUAAUCGUCGUCGUCAUCAUUAAAGCCGUUAGGGACAAUUUCUUGUACCUUGUACUCAGCUCUUUGUAUUUUUUUUGACCUCAGCCCCCUCCCCUCCUUUUUUACACAGGCGUUAACUAAAUCCAAACGAGCAGGCAAGUGAAACGCAGCAUUAUUGAACAUAAGAGCAAGUUUAGAAACAGACUCCAUCCUUUACACACACUUUGGUAGAUUUUAAUCACAAUGUAGAGUCACAGUCUUGAAAUCCUACGAGUUGUCACACCCCCGCAAACACUCUUGGUACUAAUGUUGGAGAGUGGUCCCUGGUCAAAGUGGUCCCUGGUCAAAAUAAGGUUCACUUGUCCGUCACUUCCUUGGAGCAGGACUAUGAAAUGUUUCAUGUCUAUAGAUUUAUCACACAUCAUCUCUUAAUAUCUUUUCAUUCCUUAGUUCCUUUGCCCACAGUGCUGUCUUUAAAAUGUGAUCUUAAGUCUCUACUGGAAUAUAUCUCUUGGCGACCGUUCUGAUCUUUGAUCGCUGUCUUACCACCUCAUCAGAUGGGGUGAUUUUACCAUCCUAUGAUGCUUUCACCCCAUCUGAUGGGCUUGCUGUGGAAGCCCCACAUACAGCUGGGGUGAAAGCGUCACUGGACAUUUUUCCUGGCCACACGGGAGGCUUGCCGUGUUGUGCUGGCUCUAAUAGAGCUAGCAUGGGGCCUCCCUGCAAUGGCUACACUUCCUUCAUGUGAUGGGGAAAGCAUCACCGAGAGGAAGCUGUGGGUGGGGUGACAAAUUCUCCCCACUGUUCCCUCUUUCCUCCUCGGAA
ensembl:lncRNA